rnacentral:tRNA from 1 species
GGAAAGGUGGCAGAGCGGUUCAAUGCACCGGUUUUGAAAACCGGCAUAGGUGACUAUCGAGGGUUCGAAUCCCUCCCUUUCCG